rnacentral:tRNA from 1 species
UGUCCAGGGAUGGGAAUCGAACCCACAGUGUUCCGCUUACCGGGCAGAUUCUAUGUAUACUAGGUUACCCUGGGC